rnacentral:rRNA from 1 species
GACGAACGCUGGCGGCGUGCUUAACACAUGCAAGUCGAACGGUGAAGCGCCUUCCUUUUUGGUGGGUGUGGAUGAGUGGCGAACGGGUGAGUGACACGUGAGUAACCUGCCCCCUUCUUCUGGAUAACCGCAUGAAAGUGUGGCUAAUACGGGAUAUUCUGGGUCUGUCGCAUGAUGGGUCUGGGAAAGAUAUUGUUUCGGUGGGGGAUGGGCUCGCGGCCUAUCAGCUUGUUGGUGGGGUGAUGGCCUACCAAGGCGGUGACGGGUAGCCGGCCUGAGAGGGUGGACGGUCACACUGGGACUGAGACACGGCCCAGACUCCUACGGGAGGCAGCAGGGGGGAAUAUUGCACAAUGGGCGCAAGCCUGAUGCAGCGACGCCGCGUGAGGGAUGGAGGCCUGCGGGUUGUGAACCUCUUUCGCCAGUGAAGCAGGCCUGCCUCGUUUGUGGGUGGGUUGACGGUAGCUGGAUAAGAAGCGCCGGCUAACUACGUG